rnacentral:rRNA from 1 species
UACGUAGGGCGCAAGCGUUGUCCGGAAUUAUUGGGCGUAAAGAGCUCGUAGGCGGUUUGUCGCGUCUGUCGUGAAAACUCGGGGCUUAACCCCGGGCCUGCAGUGGGUACGGGCAGACUAGAGUGCGGUAGGGGAGACUGGAAUUCCUGGUGUAGCGGUGAAAUGCGCAGAUAUCAGGAGGAACACCGGUGGCGAAGGCGGGUCUCUGGGCCGUAACUGACGCUGAGGAGCGAAAGCAUGGGGAGCGAACAGG